UGAGAGGGUGACCGGCCACACUGGGACUGAGACACGGCCCAGACUCCUACGGGAGGCAGCAGUAGGGAAUUUUCGGCAAUGGGGGAAACCCUGACCGAGCAACGCCGCGUGAAGGAAGAAGUAAUUCGUUAUGUAAACUUCUGUCAUAGAGGAAGAACGGUGCGUGUAGGGAAUGACAUGCAAGUGACGGUACUCUAUAAGAAAGCCACGGCUAACUACGUGCCAGCAGCCGCGGUAAUACGUAGGUGGCGAGCGUUAUCCGGAAUUAUUGGGCGUAAAGAGGGAGCAGGCGGCACUAAGGGUCUGUGGUGAAAGAUCGAAGCUUAACUUCGGUAAGCCAUGGAAACCGUAGAGCUAGAGUGUGUGAGAGGAUCGUGGAAUUCCAUGUGUAGCGGUGAAAUGCGUAGAUAUAUGGAGGAACACCAGUGGCGAAGGCGACGAUCUGGCGCAUAACUGACGCUCAGUCCCGAAAGCGUGGGGAGCAAAUAGGAUUAGAUACCCUAGUAGUCCACGCCGUAAACGAUGAGUACUAAGUGUUGGGAGUCAAAUC
rnacentral:rRNA from 1 species